rnacentral:rRNA from 1 species
CCUACGGGAGGCAGCAGUGGGGAAUAUUGCGCAAUGGGCGAAAGCCUGACGCAGCGACGCCGCGUGAGGGAUGAAGGUCUUCGGAUCGUAAACCUCUGUCAGCAGGGAAGAACGGUCACUGUGCUAAUCAGCAGUGAAUUGACGGUACCUGCAAAGGAAGCACCGGCUAACUCCGUGCCAGCAGCCGCGGUAAUACGGAGGGUGCGAGCGUUAAUCGGAAUUACUGGGCGUAAAGCGCUCGUAGGCGGUAUUGCAAGUCAAGGGUGAAAGCCCCGCGCUCAACGUGGGAACUGCCUUUGAAACUGGGAAACUGGAGUGUGUGAGAGGAUAGUGGAAUUCCAGGUGUAGGAGUGAAAUCCGUAGAUAUCUGGAGGAACAUCAGUGGCGAAGGCGACUAUCUGGCACAUAACUGACGCUGAGGAGCGAAAGCGUGGGUAGCAAACAGGAUUAGAUACCCUGGUAGUC